CCUACCAAACCCUGACGAACUCCGAAUGCUAUAAAAUAUAUCCAGCAGUGAGGCAGCGAGUGAUAAGGCCCGUUGCCGAAAGGGAAACAACCCAGACCAUCAGCUAAGGUCCCAAAGUCUAUAUUAAGUUGCACAAACGUUGUCCGAUUGCUAUAACAGCUAGGAUGUUUGCUUGGAAGCAGCAAUCAUUUUAAAGAGUGCGUAACAGCUCACUAGUCGAGUGAUCGGGCGCGGAAGAAUGACCGGGCAUAAAAUAUAGCACCGAAGCUAUGGAUUCGAAAGAAUGGUAGGAGAGCAUUCCAGCAUCUGUGAAGGUGAACCGUGAGGUUUGCUGGAGAAACUGGAAAAGAAAAAUGUAGGAAUAAGUAACGAUAAAUAAGGUGAAAAACCUUAUACGCCAUAAACCUAAAGGGUUCCUGAUCAAUGUUAAAUCAGAUCAGGGUAGUCGGAUCCUAAGGACACCCGAAAGGGGAACCUCCGAUGGAAAACUAGUUAAUAUUACUAGUACUUG
rnacentral:rRNA from 1 species